rnacentral:rRNA from 1 species
CACUCCUACGGGAGGCAGCAGUGGGGAAUAUUGGACAAUGGGCGCAAGCCUGAUCCAGCCAUGCCGCGUGAGUGAUGAAGGCCCUAGGGUUGUAAAGCUCUUUCACCGGUGAAGAUAAUGACGGUAACCGGAGAAGAAGCCCCGGCUAACUUCGUGCCAGCAGCCGCGGUAAUACGAAGGGGGCUAGCGUUGUUCGGAUUUACUGGGCGUAAAGCGCACGUAGGCGGACUAUUAAGUCAGGGGUGAAAUCCCGGGGCUCAACCCCGGAACUGCCUUUGAUACUGGUAGUCUUGAGUUCGAGAGAGGUGAGUGGAAUUCCGAGUGUAGAGGUGAAAUUCGUAGAUAUUCGGAGGAACACCAGUGGCGAAGGCGGCUCACUGGCUCGAUACUGACGCUGAGGUGCGAAAGCGUGGGGAGCAAACAGGAUUAGAAACCCUGGUAGUCCC